UGGGGAAUCUUGCGCAAUGCGCGACAGCGUGACGCAGCAACGCCGCGUGGGGGAAGAAGGCCUUCGGGUUGUAAACCCCUUUCAGUUGGGACGAAGGUCCGGCCGUUAAUAGCGGUCCGGACUGACGGUACCUUCAGAAGAAGCCCCGGCUAACUACGUGCCAGCAGCCGCGGUAAUACGUAGGGGGCAAGCGUUGUCCGGAAUCAUUGGGCGUAAAGAGCGUGUAGGCGGCCCGAUAAGUCCGCCGUGAAAGUCCAGGGCUCAACCCUGGAAUGCCGGUGGAAACUGUCGGGCUGGAGUCCGGAAGAGGCGAGUGGAAUUCCUGGUGUAGCGGUGAAAUGCGCAGAUAUCAGGAGGAACACCAAUGGCGAAGGCAGCUCGCUGGGACGGUACUGACGCUGAGACGCGAAAGCGUGGGGAGCAAACAG
rnacentral:rRNA from 1 species